UAGCAAGGAGAGUCAUUUUCAAUACACAAGUAUCAACAGUUUGCUGUUGUAAUAUAUCAAGAAUUACAAGAGGAGGAGUUUCUUGUUGAUCGUUAAUCAGUGGUAACAUGGUAGAAGAAAAUCCGGAGUUCAAACAAUAUUUGACAAUAAAGAAUACAGAAACUACGCCAAAACCUUGAAGAGAUCUUCAGAGAAGCAACAAGAAGAAGCCCGUAAGAGCUGUUGCAAUCAUCAGGAUCGGUGAUAGUCUACAGCUCAUAUGACUAUUAUUAGCACUGGCAGAUUCGGAUGAUGCAGAAUCAGGACAUGGUAGCCCAUUUUUGUCUUUAUUGCACUCACUGGCGAAAAGACCAGGUGGGUACUUCCCGUGAAGGUUAAUGUAGCUGAACAUGGUAGAGGCACAAUCAGUUGUCAAAUCAUUCACGAAUUCUGAAUAGGGACACGCAAACUCCGCAAGGGCUUCACAACAUUGUUUGGCUGGGUAUUUUGGUCCUUUGCAUUGGGUAGUGACCACUGUGUAGUUUUGAAACUCGAAGCUGAUAGGACAAGGUUUCUUGGCUUGAAGUAGAUUCCUCCCAGUUAAACCUUCAUUAACAAAAAUCCCAUCUGAUAAAUAAGCUGAAGCUGAAGCUGAAAUGAAGAAAGAAAACAGUAGAAAAAUACAAGAAAAACAAUAUCUGCACCCCAUUAUAGCAAAAUGAGCUAAAAUAUCAGAAUAUAAAAGCUAAAAGAUGAGUUCUUGGAAGAAGAUUUCAACAAAGAACCAGAAAAAAAGUGAUCUUUGAGAAAAAAACAGAAAUAGAAAGAGAUCUAUCUGUUCUCUUUCCCUUUGAACAAAGGUUAUCUCUGUUCUUGCCAGCUAAUUGUUUA
rnacentral:misc_RNA from 1 species